GGUUAAGCGACUAAGCGUACACGGUGGAUGCCCUGGCAGUCAGAGGCGAUGAAGGACGUGCUAAUCUGCGAUAAGCGUCGGUAAGGUGAUAUGAACCGUUAUAACCGGCGAUUUCCGAAUGGGGAAACCCAGUGUGAUUCGUCACACUAUCAUUAACUGAAUCCAUAGGUUAAUGAGGCGAACCGGGGGAACUGAAACAUCUAAGUACCCCGAGGAAAAGAAAUCAACCGAGAUUCCCCCAGUAGCGGCGAGCGAACGGGGAGCAGCCCAGAGCCUGAAUCAGUGUGUGUGUUAGUGGAAGCGUCUGGAAAGGCGCGCGAUACAGGGUGACAGCCCCGUACACAAAAAUGCACAUGCUGUGAGCUCGAUGAGUAGGGCGGGACACGUGGUAUCCUGUCUGAAUAUGGGGGGACCAUCCUCCAAGGCUAAAUACUCCUGACUGACCGAUAGUAAACCAGUACCGUGAGGGAAAGGCGAAAAGAACCCCGGCGAGGGGAGUGAAAAAGAACCUGAAACCGUGUACGUACAAGCAGUGGGAGCACGCUUAGGCGUGUGACUGCGUACCUUUUGUAUAAUGGGUCAGCGACUUAUAUUCUGUAGCAAGGUUAACCGAAUAGGGGAGCCGAAGGGAAACCGAGUCUUAACUGGGCGUUAAGUUGCAGGGUAUAGACCCGAAACCCGGUGAUCUAGCCAUGGGCAGGUUGAAGGUUGGGUAACACUAACUGGAGGACCGAACCGACUAAUGUUGAAAAAUUAGCGGAUGACUUGUGGCUGGGGGUGAAAGGCCAAUCAAACCGGGAGAUAGCUGGUUCUCCCCGAAAGCUAUUUAGGUAGCGCCUCGUGAAUUCAUCUCCGGGGGUAGAGCACUGUUUCGGCAAGGGGGUCAUCCCGACUUACCAACCCGAUGCAAACUGCGAAUACCGGAGAAUGUUAUCACGGGAGACACACGGCGGGUGCUAACGUCCGUCGUGAAGAGGGAAACAACCCAGACCGCCAGCUAAGGUCCCAAAGUCAUGGUUAAGUGGGAAACGAUGUGGGAAGGCCCAGACAGCCAGGAUGUUGGCUUAGAAGCAGCCAUCAUUUAAAGAAAGCGUAAUAGCUCACUGGUCGAGUCGGCCUGCGCGGAAGAUGUAACGGGGCUAAACCAUGCACCGAAGCUGCGGCAGCGACGCUGAUGCGUUGUUGGGUAGGGGAGCGUUCUGUAAGCCUGCGAAGGUGUGCUGUGAGGCAUGCUGGAGGUAUCAGAAGUGCGAAUGCUGACAUAAGUAACGAUAAAGCGGGUGAAAAGCCCGCUCGCCGGAAGACCAAGGGUUCCUGUCCAACGUUAAUCGGGGCAGGGUGAGUCGACCCCUAAGGCGAGGCCGAAAGGCGUAGUCGAUGGGAAACAGGUUAAUAUUCCUGUACUUGGUGUUACUGCGAAGGGGGGACGGAGAAGGCUAUGUUGGCCGGGCGACGGUUGUCCCGGUUUAAGCGUGUAGGCUGGUUUUCCAGGCAAAUCCGGAAAAUCAAGGCUGAGGCGUGAUGACGAGGCACUACGGUGCUGAAGCAACAAAUGCCCUGCUUCCAGGAAAAGCCUCUAAGCAUCAGGUAACAUCAAAUCGUACCCCAAACCGACACAGGUGGUCAGGUAGAGAAUACCAAGGCGCUUGAGAGAACUCGGGUGAAGGAACUAGGCAAAAUGGUGCCGUAACUUCGGGAGAAGGCACGCUGAUAUGUAGGUGAAGUCCCUCGCGGAUGGAGCUGAAAUCAGUCGAAGAUACCAGCUGGCUGCAACUGUUUAUUAAAAACACAGCACUGUGCAAACACGAAAGUGGACGUAUACGGUGUGACGCCUGCCCGGUGCCGGAAGGUUAAUUGAUGGGGUUAGCGCAAGCGAAGCUCUUGAUCGAAGCCCCGGUAAACGGCGGCCGUAACUAUAACGGUCCUAAGGUAGCGAAAUUCCUUGUCGGGUAAGUUCCGACCUGCACGAAUGGCGUAAUGAUGGCCAGGCUGUCUCCACCCGAGACUCAGUGAAAUUGAACUCGCUGUGAAGAUGCAGUGUACCCGCGGCAAGACGGAAAGACCCCGUGAACCUUUACUAUAGCUUGACACUGAACAUUGAGCCUUGAUGUGUAGGAUAGGUGGGAGGCUUUGAAGUGUGGACGCCAGUCUGCAUGGAGCCGACCUUGAAAUACCACCCUUUAAUGUUUGAUGUUCUAACGUGGACCCGUAAUCCGGGUUGCGGACAGUGUCUGGUGGGUAGUUUGACUGGGGCGGUCUCCUCCUAAAGAGUAACGGAGGAGCACGAAGGUUGGCUAAUCCUGGUCGGACAUCAGGAGGUUAGUGCAAUGGCAUAAGCCAGCUUGACUGCGAGCGUGACGGCGCGAGCAGGUGCGAAAGCAGGUCAUAGUGAUCCGGUGGUUCUGAAUGGAAGGGCCAUCGCUCAACGGAUAAAAGGUACUCCGGGGAUAACAGGCUGAUACCGCCCAAGAGUUCAUAUCGACGGCGGUGUUUGGCACCUCGAUGUCGGCUCAUCACAUCCUGGGGCUGAAGUAGGUCCCAAGGGUAUGGCUGUUCGCCAUUUAAAGUGGUACGCGAGCUGGGUUUAGAACGUCGUGAGACAGUUCGGUCCCUAUCUGCCGUGGGCGCUGGAGAAUUGAGGGGGGCUGCUCCUAGUACGAGAGGACCGGAGUGGACGCAUCACUGGUGUUCGGGUUGUCAUGCCAAUGGCACUGCCCGGUAGCUAAAUGCGGAAGAGAUAAGUGCUGAAAGCAUCUAAGCACGAAACUUGCCCCGAGAUGAGUUCUCCCUGACUCCUUGAGAGUCCUGAAGGAACGUUGAAGACGACGACGUUGAUAGGCCGGGUGUGUAAGCGCAGCGAUGCGUUGAGCUAACCGGUACUAAUGAACCGUGAGGCUUAACCUU
rnacentral:rRNA from 1 species